rnacentral:lncRNA from 1 species
UACCAAAACAUAAGUAUUUUGGAUGUCAGAAUGGAAGUUAUCCCAUCGAUAAUAAAUAUAGAAAGCAGUAAAGUGUUCACACUCUCAAGACCAUUGAACCAAACUACAUAGGUUCUGUCCACACAAUGGUUAAAAAACAGUAACAUUAUCAUUAUCAUUUCAUCACCAUCAUUUUUUCUGAUUCUACUGCUGGGCGCAUUGUACUCUCUGUGCCCCACCAGGCAUAUCAUCAUCCUCAUCAUAUGCUUCCUGUUGUUGUUGCUGUUGUUUCCUCCUAUUCUCCUCUUCCAUAUUGACAUCAUGAAGUGUAGUUUCCUCACACUCGUCGAUCUCCAUGUCUGUCAACUGUGAUGAAGGUUUAGCUGGAAGAACAGCCUCCAAACCUUUCACCUGAUCAAGACUUAGGGUGUCGGGGAAUUCCACGGUGAAGUGAAUGUAAAGCUUGCCCUUCAUAAAUGGCCUCUGGUACAUCGGCAUUCCCUCGUCGUUAAUAGCCUUGUAUGAAUCUGCAUGCUUGACAACUUCUCCGGGGUUUGAUUUGAUAAGAAGUUGGCGACCAUCCAAGUGAGUAAGCACAAAUUGGAAACCACACAAAGCCU